UGGGCGGACGGCGAUGGAUCUCGCCUGGGCAGCACCCGUGCCGUGCCCGAACCGCGUCGUCCGCUGAUAGUUCCUACGCUUCC
rnacentral:ncRNA from 2 species